GUGGUGAGCGUGGAAGAAAGCGAGCGUGCGCGAGUAGCCCUACGAGAGAAGGCUACUAAUAGUUGACUGCGAUACAGUUCACUGACUCUCUCCUCCUUUUGCUGAAAACGUAACAGGGAUGCAUUGAAUGCAUUUCCAAUAUGCUGGGGGAGACCUAUGUUAGAUUCAAGAAACCAACUAGCUGAAAUAAAAGGAAACGCCCAAAACGAAGAUGACGGAGGGGAGACUCUGCCAGGUUCAUCUCCUUGACGACAGGAAACUUGAUCUGCUGGUUCAGCCCAAGCUGUUGUCCCAUGAACUGCUAGAUCUGGUGUCCUCCCAUUUUAACCUCAAAGAGAAGGAAUACUUCGGCCUAACAUUUGUUGAUGACAGUGGCCAGUGUAAAUACUUGCAGUUGGACCGAAGAGUUCUAGAACAUGACUUUUCUAAGAGGGCUACUGGGCCUAUUGCCCUCAACUUCCUGGUCAGGUUUUACGUCGAGAGUAUAACACUGCUGAAAGACAACACAACGGUGGAAUUAUUCUUCCUAAAUGCAAAAGUUGCCGUCUACAAUGGGGAUAUAGAGGUGGAAAGUGAGAAUGUAUUCAAAUUAGCAGCAAACGCCUUGCAGGAAGCAAAGGGGAAUUACUCAAGUGAUGAAACCACCAGAAUGGAUCUGAAGAAGCUCCCAACUCUUCCCAACAAGGUGCUAAAGGAGCACCCAUCACUUACAUACUGUGAGGAUCGAGUGAUAGAGCACUACAAACAGCUGAAAGGAGUCUCCCGCGGACAUGCCAUGGUGCAGUAUUUGACUCUAGUGGAAUCAUUACCCACGUAUGGCGUUCAUUAUUAUGAAGUAAAGGACAAGCAAGGAAUCCCAUGGUGGCUUGGGAUCAGCUAUAAAGGAAUUGGCCAAUAUGAUUUGCAGGACAAAUUGAAACCAAGGAAGCUGUAUCAGUGGAAGCAACUGGAGAACUUGUAUUUUCGGGAGAAGAAAUUUGCUGUUGAGGUGAAUGACCCUCACAGGCGGGCAGUGACCAAGCGUACAUUCGGCCAGACCGGCUUGGUCAUCCACACAUGGUACGCCAGCCAUUCACUGAUCAAAACCAUCUGGGUCAUGGCCAUCAGUCAGCACCAGUUUUACUUGGACAGGAAGCAAAGCAAGGGUAAAAUAACUGCAGCGAAAAGUUUGGGUGAUAUUGCCGUCGAUCUAACAGAGCAUGGAGGAGGAACCAAGAUAACCAGACUAGGAGAUAACCUAAAGCACAACCUCAUUAUGGCUAGCACUGGUAGCCUGGCGUCAACAGGGUCCGCCGAUUCAGCGGUGGACGAAGUGCAGAGAAAGGAGAAGAUCUCUGAGCUAAAGAAGAAGGAACAAGAGAUCCAAGACAUCUUGACCCAGAAAACAAAGGAGCUGAAGAAAAUCUGCUUGCUGGAGGCGGAGCUCACGGGCAAACUGCCAAAAGAGUAUCCCUUGUUUGCAGGUGAGAGACCUCCUCAUGUCAGACGACGCGUUGGAACGACCUUCAAACUGGAUGACCUCUUCCCAUACAACGAGGACCCUUAUCUGAGGAACCUGGAGAGCAUGUUUGCUCUACAGCAGAAGAUCGUAGAAGCAGCUAAGAAGCUGGCCUCAGAGGCAGAGCUCUGUAAGACUGUGAAGAGGAAGAGGAGGAGGAACUGUCAGGACGCCAUGAGGAAACUGCAGCAGGUUGAAGACGAGAUGAACCAGUACAGAAUCAAGAAAGGCAAGAAGCCUACCCAAAGAGCCUCUGUGAUUAUCACAGAUGAAUUUAUCCAUUUAGAGACCAGCUCCCAGUCAGAUAGUCAGAUUCUAGAUGACGAUGACUCUGAUGGUGCUCAGAGGCCCCGGUCACGGUCUGUCCAGUGCUCCCCUCAGCUCAGCCCCGCGCACUCCCUAGAUCACCACAACAACAAGAGUCUCAACAGGUUAGCGUUUGACAGCCAGGAUGCUUCACACCACUACCACCCCAGAGAGGUGUCAUCCGCACACAGCAGCCCCUACAAAACCUUACCCAGACCUUCACGGGACGCAUGCAGCAUGCCCUCCACCCCCGUUAUGACCCGCAACGCCUACAGCAGCAGCCAGCUCAGGUCGGAUGGGAACUCUCAGUCCUUCAGGCACCGCAGUGGGAGUCUGGAGUCACAGCAACGGCUAUUAAAGGAUACUGACUCAGAGAAGCCAGUGUUUACCCAGUCCCCUGCCUGCAGGAACAACAGCACAGAAGCCCUGGAGGACUGCUCCUCCUACACCAGCCAGUCCAGCUUGGACUACGCAGGCAACCCCCACUACUGCACCCUGGACUCUCGGACCCGCAACCAUCAGCUGCACAGGAGGGUGGAGGUCUACGGUAAUACAGGCAGUAUGCCCAAUUUGGUCCAGAACCAUAUCGGCUUUAGUGAUACUUACGAGCCCCAGGCACACUACGCGCCAACUGCUUACUACGUGGCAGGCUACCCCUGUCCAGACAUGGAGCCCUACUCCAACGGUGCUUACGUCUAUGAGAACGAGAUGGAGGGCCACUACAAUGUCAACCCCUCCUACCAAGUACACAAUUACGGACACGAGCGAUACAGGACCUACAGUAGUGAUCGGGCGGACAGCCUUGCUCAGAACCCCUACGCUACCAUGAGAUUGCCCCGGACCAGACAUGGGCCCCGCAAUGAGCCCUUACAGAAGAACAUGCAAAAGGCCAUGGUGGCUGAGCACCUGAGAGGCUGGUACCACCGCAGCGGGGGCCACAUAGAGGCAGGUAGAGGUCUGGCUGGGUAUGACUACGAUAACGGCUCUCAGCUCAGCCUUGGAUAUCAGACCAUGCCAGCCCCCUUCAGCCACUCCAGCCGAACCACCUCCUACUCCUCAGUUUCCUCAUCCACCAGCACAGGAAACUGGCGCAGCCAGCUAACUGUUGGUCUAACAGACAAUGAUAACAUGGCAGAGUCACCACAGCACCAUCACCCAGGAGCCCAUGGCACCUACAACCGGAGCCCCACCCAUAUCAGUUUCCAAUUGACUCAUUCAUCUCCCCUAUAACUAUGCCCAAGAUUGAAGCUGUAAAUGAGAAUGUGUUCUCAGUCAAUUUACCAGGAGAAUAUUCAUGGAUGGAAAUUACAUGAGCAUCCACUGAAGGUAAGAGGACUGGAAUGAAAUCUGUCACAAUGACCCUGACACUGGAAGCACAGACCUCUGGAUGGAUGCCAACUAACCAAUCUGUAUACAUACUAUGAAGCUUGAGAAUGACUCUCCCAUGUGCCUUUGAUUGGAUGGAGAUCGAUAUUAUUCAGGAAGACAUGGAUGUGGUGAUGGCACAAACGUUUUGCUGAUCUGCAAAAGCAGCUUCAUCAUUGUGAAUUUCAAACCCUGGGAUAUCUUUGACCCAAAUAUAUUGAACCAAUUGUAUUAUGACAUUAUACAUAUUGUAAAUCAACUUUAAUAUCUUUGUAAAACAUUUAGGUAUACAUUUUUAUUUACAAAAUGUGAUAACAAAAUAAUAAACUAACCCUUCUUUAGUCCCAGGUUGUCAAUCCAUGGAUUGACACUCUCUCCUCUCCCAAGUAUGAAUCUGAAUGUACAUGUUUAUAGAUUAUUAUUAUUUGUGAAUGUGUUAUUGUGAUGUAAAUUGCUUGCAUGUGGAGAACAUAAACUUUUGAUAAGUAGGUUUUUUGUAUGAUGUAAAAAGAUAUGUCUGGAUAACCCUCAAAUAAUAUUCCUUUAUUUGUUUCUCUACAUAUUUCUACAUUGUCCAUGUAUUGUUUGUCUUCUACUCUGAGUGAAUAUCUCCCAUUUGGAUUUGGGACAUUAAUAAAAACAAUGUGAGACUUGA